AGAGUUUGAAAGAUUUGUGAAGUUCAGUGAAGCAGGAAGACUCCUGAGAUAAAAUGAACUUAGUUAUAAAAAUAAUAGAGGCAAUUUUGGCAGAAGCAUAAAUCACAAAAGACUACAAGAAUUUGAAAGAAAAGUGUUAACAGUCUCCAACUUAACAGUAGUUCAAUUUAAUGAUUUUUCAACCUUACAAUGUUAUGAAAGCAAUACAUAGGCAUUCAGUAGAACUAUACUUAAGAUUUUGAAAAUGAUCUUUUCCUGGGCUAGCAGUAUGCCCUCCGAUCCUCUCUUGUGAUGCUAGGCAGAGCCAGUGAGCCACAGCUGCCCGGCAGCCCCAGGAUCACGAGGGUCAACAACCAACACACUCACAACUAUUGUACCCACACAGCCAUUCUGUUUUUCACUUUCAGUACAGUAUUCAGUAAUCAUAUGAGAUCUUCAGCACUUUAUAUAAAAUAGGCUUUCUGUUAGAUGAUUUUGCCCAGCUGUAGGCUAAUGUAAGUGUUCUGGGCAUGUUUAAGAUAGGCUAGACUGAGCUGUGACGUUCGGUAGGUUGACUGUGGAUUAAGUUUCAUCAGCAGCAACAAAAAAGGUAGCACUUUUCAAAUUUGAAUAUGCUUUUGAAGCACCUGAAGGACUUGAUAAAGCAAAAUUGCUGAGAACUAUCUGCAGGGUUUCUAAUUCAGACCCUGCCUGUUCUGAAGGGAAUGAAAAACCAUCAAAGGAAUGAUCUGAAGUGAAACUAUUCCAGGAAGACAGAGGAAAAGUCCCCCCCAUUUUCAGAACAUUUGCAGUUUGCAACAUAUUUUCAAUGCCUUCAGCCGUCUAAGAUACCAGAGAUGAUUCCUUGUAUUUCCCUGACUUUGCUUUAGGAAUCAUAAUGUUAAGAGGUUAAUGUGGUGCUCGCUUUUUGGUUUACUCAGUUUCUCUUACUUUUUCAGCCAGCAUAGGAAAGCAUCCAUAACUCAAGUUCCCCAAACCCAGCUGGCAUGCCUUUAAAGCGCUAGCUCUUAAAUUUUCUCCUCUCCUUCACUGCUUGUCAGUGUCGGUAUCAUAACUACCCGUACGCCUUCUUCCAAUUUACAUGUAGUCUCCUCUAAAAUGUGAGGGCUAGUCUGUCUCUUCCAUGUGCCCAAGUAGCUUAAAUAACUAGCAAAAAAAAACUGGAGAAUAGUCAUAUUGCGUCAGCUUAAGUUCAGAGUGAAGACUUCACUUAAAUAUAAGCCCAGCCUAUUUGGGUGUCCAAAGCUCUUUGGUCAGAGACGCCUGCUCUUCAGUCUCCAGCAACAUGAUAUAGUUAGACGUAAGUUUUCAGGGUUUUUGGUAGAUAUCCAUGCUUUACUGCUUUAUAGCCUCCUGGAUCCUCCCUGCCCAUGAAUAUUUGGAUAUCUUGACUCAGUCAUUAUAGGGCUAUGCUUUUAAAGGACUCAGAUAAUCUCACAGGCUGGGCUUUUAGCACAUCACCAGCCUCUGUCAUAUUUCAGACUCCAGUGCUUGCCAUUCUGGCAGCAUCUCAGGAAUGCUCCCCAACCACGAAUAAGUAGCACUUCCUGGAAUUAGCCCCAGUUUUCUGUAACAUCAUUUCUCAGUUAUAAAAAGUAUGGUUCCUCUAAGGGUCUGCCCUACUAUAUACUUAAUCUUUGAUCAUUCAAAAGAGGCUUUGCACUCAAAAAGGGACUUAAGUAAAAUGUAUAACGAAUCCCUCUAGGAGUUAAGCCAGCAUUUUAAAGAAAGCUACAUUAAGGUGUGUGGUUUGUAUGUCAUGUUACAUUCUUUUCACAUUUUCUUUCCAAGUGAUUCUUGGGGAAUACUAUAUGAUAGCAAUUACUAGUUUUCUAUUCUAACGUUCUUUCUUUUCUACUUUGUAAGAAGAAUGUGCAUGUAUUCCAGUCUGCCUAAGCAGAGUUGCAUUAAAUCUGUUGUUCCAGGAUAAUUCUUCAUAGUUUCACUAUCAAUAUAUGCUGGUACUAGAAUAAACUUUGUGUUUACUCUAUUUAUAAUAAAACCAUAGUUGAUCAGAAUCAAAACUAAAUUUCUCAGCCUCUCUUUCAAAUAAGUAAAUGCUCUGGACAAUAAUAUACAGAGUAUUGUGUGUGACUUCUAGGAAGCCACCUUGGAAACAAAAAAGGCACCCGCUUUGGCUUCAUUGUCUCCUGCUGCCAAUAUAGAAUAUAGAUAUGAUGACUAGCAUUUCAGCUGCCAUCUUGGAUCAUGAAGAAACUUGGGGAUUGAAGCCACGUGUGUUAGUUAAGGUGGAUUCUAAUAGCUAUGGCAAGGAGAAU